GGGGAUUUAGCUCAGCGGUAGAGCGCUUGCCUAGCAAGCAUAAGGCCCUGGGUUCGGUCCCCAGCUCCG
rnacentral:tRNA from 1 species